UGUCACAGCCAUAUCACCCUGCAGCCCAAGACUGGUUGCCCACUGAAGCUAAGCAGGGUUGAGCCUGGUCAGUACCUGGAUGGGAGACCUCCUGGGAAAACUAGGUUGCUGUUGGAA
rnacentral:rRNA from 1 species